AUUUUUACAUAUAUAUGAUCAUAAAUCCAAUACGAGUCAAAACAUACAUAACUCAAUAUCCUUAAUUAUGACCACAUUUAUCCCUGUGGCAGGGUCCAGAACAAAGUGUCAAUAUAUAACCCUCAUUGGUAGGAUCGAAAACCAAUCUAUAACCCCUAUUGAUAGGGUUGAAAACCAAUGUAUAAUCUCUAUUGAUGGGAUCCAUUGAAAUACGGU
rnacentral:lncRNA from 1 species